UAGUUUGAUCCUGGCUCAGGACGAACGCUGGCGGCGUGCCUAAUACAUGCAAGUCGAACGAACUCUGGUAUUGAUUGGUGCUUGCAUCAUGAUUUACAUUUGAGUGAGUGGCGAACUGGUGAGUAACACGUGGGAAACCUGCCCAGAAGCGGGGGAUAACACCUGGAAACAGAUGCUAAUACCGCAUAACAACUUGGACCGCAUGGUCCGAGUUUGAAAGAUGGCUUCGGCUAUCACUUUUGGAUGGUCCCGCGGCGUAUUAGCUAGAUGGUGAGGUAACGGCUCAC
rnacentral:rRNA from 1 species